GAAAUACCACCCUUUAAUGUUUGAUGUUCUAACGUUGGCCCCUGAUCGGGGUUGCGGACAGUGUCUGGUGGGUAGUUUGACUGGGGCGGUCUCCUCCUAAAGAGUAACGGAGGAGCACGAAGGUUGGCUAAUCCUGGUCGGACAUCAGGAGGUUAGUGCAAUGGCAUAAGCCAGCUUGACUGCGAGCGUGACGGCGCGAGCAGGUGCGAAAGCAGGUCAUAGUGAUCCGGUGGUUCUGAAUGGAAGGGCCAUCGCUCAACGGAUAAAAGGUACUCCGGGGAUAACAGGCUGAUACCGCCCAAGAGUUCAUAUCGACGGCGGUGUUUGGCACCUCGAUGUCGGCUCAUCACAUCCUGGGGCUGAAGUAGGUCCCAAGGGUAUGGCUGUUCGCCAUUUAAAGUGGUACGCGAGCUGGGUUUAGAACGUCGUGAGACAGUUCGGUCCCUAUCUGCCGUGGGCGCUGGAGAACUGAGGGGGGCUGCUCCUAGUACGAGAGGACCGGAGUGGACGCAUCACUGGUGUUCGGGUUGUCAUGCCAAUGGCACUGCCCGGUAGCUAAAUGCGGAAGAGAUAAGUGCUGAAAGCAUCUAAGCACGAAACUUGCCCCG
rnacentral:rRNA from 1 species